rnacentral:rRNA from 1 species
UACGGGGGGGGCAAGCGUUGUUCGGAAUUACUGGGCGUAAAGGGCUCGUAGGCGGCCAACUAAGUCAGACGUGAAAUCCCUCGGCUUAACCGGGGAACUGCGUCUGAUACUGGAUGGCUAGAGGUUGGGAGAGGGAUGCGGAGUUCCAGGUGUAGCGGUGAAAUGCGUAGAUAUCUGGAGGAACACCGGUGGCGAAGGCGGCAUCCUGGACCAAUUCUGACGCUGAGGAGCGAAAGCCAGGGGAGCAAACGGG